GGAACUGGAGCUAAACUAUCAAAUUCUGCCCACAACUGUCUCAACCUUGAGAAAUAGGAAGAAGUUGAGUCAGUACCCUGGUUGAUUGUUGCAAUGUUCUUAUGAAUCUGAAAUAUUCUGGAGAGAUCAGCCUUGUCAAACCUCUCUCUUAAAUCAUUCCACACAGCACUUGCAUUUGAGGAAAAAAUAUACCACUGAGCAACUCUAGUGAUACACAUUUCAUAAUCCAUGACAACAAUAUGGCAUUGCAUAUAUCCCACAGAUCUACUAGGUUUGGACCGAAUAUUUCUCGCCUACAAUUGCCAUCGAUAAACCCUAACUUGUUUCUUCCUAAAAUAGCAAUUCGCAUUGCCCGGCUACACACCGAGUAAUUUUCUGGACCUCUCAGUUGUAGAGAGAUCAGAAUUGUACCAGAAUUAUUAUUAGAAUUCAAAAACAAUGACUUAGCUUUUCAGGAGUCUCAUUAUCGACUUUCUCAACUUCCGACAUUGUUGAGCUUCAACCUUUGAGCUAGAGAUUGAGCUUGUGUAAUUGAGAAACUUGAGCUUGAAUUUUGUAAUUAGACUGGAAAUCUUCGAUCUAGAUCUGAGUGGUAGGCUCUGAUACCAUGUCAAGUUUAUCAGAGAGGUAAGACUUGAAGAAGAAGAAGAACAUGCAGAGAAGAAUUUGGAGAGAAGAAAG
rnacentral:lncRNA from 1 species